UACGUAGGGACCGAGCGUUGUCCGGAAUUAUUGGGCGUAAAGAGCGUGUAGGUGGCUUGGUAGGUCUCGUGUUAAAGCCCGCGGCUCAACCGCGGGAUCGCACGGGAAACCCCCUCGCUAGAGUCCGGAAGAGGGAUGUGGAAUUCCAGGUGUAGCGGUGAAAUGCGCAGAUAUCUGGAAGAACACCAGUGGCGAAGGCGGCAUCCUGGGACGGUACUGACACUGAGACGCGAAAGCGUGGGGAGCGAACAGG
rnacentral:rRNA from 1 species